rnacentral:rRNA from 1 species
UAUAUCUAUUAGGAUAAUAAAAUUACGUAGUAUAGUAAUUGUUAAAUGUAUUUUUAGGGGUGAUAGGCUUAUCAAAUUUGUGGAUAACUUGAUACAUAAUAAAAUUAUUAAGUAAAUAGACAUAUUCUAAAAGUUAAGCUUUAGAAUAGAAAUUAAUUUAGAUAAAUGUAUUCAUUAUAGUUUAAUAGCUAAUUUAUAAAUACUUAAUUAUUAUUUUCUUUAGUUUAUUUUAUUUAUUAUGUUAUAUUUAUUAAGAUGGAUAUUGAUAAUGUUAAUAUAAGUAAUAUUAUUAAAUAAGUAACAUGAACUCGGCAAGAUAUUUUUCAACUGUUUAUCAAAAACAUAACUGUAUGAUAUUAAAUACAGCUUUUCCUGCUCAAUGAUAUUAAAUAGCCGCAGUACCCUGACUGUGCAAAGGUAGCAUAAUCAGUUGGCUCAUAAUUGGAGUCUGGAAUGAAUGGAUUUUUGGAAAAUAACUUUAUUUUACUUAUUUAUUUGAAAUUAGUUUAUAAGUGAAAAUACUUAUAUUUAUAUAAAGGACGAGAAGACCCUAGAAAUUUCUUUUCUUUUGUUGGGGCGACAGAAUUACAUGAAACUAAUUUAAUAAUUACGUGACGUUAAUUACAGUUUGAUUAAAUUACUCUAGGGAUAACAGCAUAAUUUUAAUAGUUUGUGACCUCGAUGUUGGACUAGGAUAUUAAUGGUUUAGAAGACUUUUAAGAUUGCUCUGUUCGAGCU